rnacentral:rRNA from 1 species
UGCAGCAGGCGCGAAAACUUUACAAUGCGGGAAACCGUGAUAAGGGGACACCGAGUGCCAGCAUCAUAUGCUGGCUGUCCAGGUGUGUAAAAUACACCUGUUAGCAAGGGCCGGGCAAGACCGGUGCCAGCCGCCGCGGUAACACCGGCGGCCCGAGUGGUGAUCGUGAUUAUUGGGUCUAAAGGGUCCGUAGCCGGUUUGGUCAGUCCUCCGGGAAAUCUGACGGCUUAACCGUUAGGCUUUCGGGGGAUACUGCCAGGCUUGGAACCGGGAGAGGUAAGAGGUACUACAGGGGUAGGAGUGAAAUCUUGUAAUCCCUGUGGGACCACCUGUGGCGAAGGCGUCUUACCAGAACGGGUUCGACGGUGAGGGACGAAAGCUGGGGGCACGAACCGGAUUAGAUACCCGGGUAGUCCCAGCCGUAAACGAUGCUCGCUAGGUGUCAGGCAUGGCGCGACCGUGUCUGGUGCCGCAGGGAAGCCGUGAAGCGAGCCACCUGGGAAGUACGGCCGCAAGGCCGAAACUUAAAGGAAUUGGCGGGGGAGCAC